rnacentral:rRNA from 1 species
UGGAGGAAAAUAUGUGCAGGCCUUUAUGACUAUGUCAGGGGUCGGCUCCUCUGAAAUGCAUUAGCGGAGCUGCUUGCAACCUUGCUAUAGGCGUGAUAAAAAAUUUCUGUGCCAAAGGGGGGUUUGCCCUGGUGUGGUUUGGCUUCCAACUCGGUCUGUGAAGACCCUUAACUGAAUAUCUUGACCUCAAAUCAGGUGGGACUACCCGCUGAACUUAAGCAUAUCAAUAAGCGGAGGAAAAGAAACUAACAAGGAUUCCCUUAGUAACUGCGAGUGAAGUGGGAAGAGCUCAAAUUUGAAAUCUGGCAGUCUCUGGCUGUCCGAGUUGUAAUCUAGAGAAGUGUUGCCCGCGCUGGACCGUGUACAAGUCUCCUGGGAUGGAGCGUCAUAGAGGGUGAGAAUCCCGUCUCUGACGUGGACUACCAGGGCUUUUGUGGUGCGCUCUCAAAGAGUCGAGUUGUUUGGGAAUGCAGCUCAAAAUGGGUGGUAAAUUCCAUCUAAAGCUAAAUAUUGGCGAGAGACCGAUAGUGAACAAGUACCGUGAGGGAAAGAUGAAAAGAACUUUGGAAAGAG